rnacentral:rRNA from 1 species
ACCCGGGGAACUGAAACAUCUCAGUACCCGGAGGAAAAGAAAGCAACCGCGACUCCCUCAGUAGCGGCGAGCGAACGGGGACCAGCCUAAACCGGUGGGGACACCCACCGGGGUCGUGGGGUCUGCGACAUGGGACCGAUUGCGAGAGCCGAACUCCCUUGGAAAAGGGGGCCAGAGCGGGUGAGAGCCCCGUAGGCGAAUUGCGAAUCGGCCCUAGCGGAUACCCGAGUAGGGUCGGGCACGUGAAACCCGGCUUGAAUCGGCGGGGACCAUCCCGCAAGGCUAAGGACUCGAUGACGACCGAUAGCGAACCCAGUAGGGCGACCGAACGGUGGGAAGAACCCCGACAAGGGGAGGACACUGAACCUGAAACCCCGUGCCUACGAGCGGUGGGAGCGGCGUGCCGCAAGGCCCCGUGACCGCGUGCCUUUUGCAUAAUGAUCCGGCGAGUUAUGGUGUCCGGCCACAGGUUAACCUCUUCAGGAGGGGAGCCGCAGGGAAACCGAGUCUUAACCGGGCGACAAGUCGGACGCCAUAGACGCGAAACCAGGUGACCUACCCAUGGGCAGGUUGAAGCGGCCGUAACAGGCCGUGGAGGACCGAACCCACCAGUGUUGAAAAACUGGGGGAGGACCCGUGGGGAGGAGUCAAAGUCUCAUCAAACCUGGAGAUAGCUCGUUCUCUCCGAAAUGGCUUUAGGGCCAGCCUCGGACCAUUACCCGCUGGGGGUAGAGCGACGGAAUUCGGUCGGGGGGCUUCCCGCCUACCCGCCGAAACCCAACUCCGAAUACCAGCGGAUGGACCCCGGGAGUCAGAGCGUGGGGGAGAAGCUUCAUGCUCAAAAGGGAAAGAACCCAGACCGCCGACCAAGGCCCCCAAGACGACGCUCAGUGGUAAAGGAAGUGGGAUCGCGGUGACAGCCCGGAUGUUGGCUUAGAAGCAGCCACCAUUUCAAAAGUGCGUAACAGCUUACGGGUCGAGCCAUCCCGCGCCGAAAAUGACGGGGACUACAAGCGUCGCGCCGCAGUCGCGGAUUCGUCUCCUCGGAGACGAGUGGUAGGAGAGCGUCGAAAUCGCGUUGAAGCCGUACCGGUAAGGAACGGUGGAGCGACUUCGAGUGCGUAUGCCGGAACGAGUAACGAUAAGACGGGUGGGAAGCCCGUCCGCCGAAAGCACAAGGUUUCCUGGGGAAGGUCAAUCCGCCCAGGGUCAGUCGGGUCCUAAGACCAGGCCCAAGGGCGUAGUCGAUGGGCAGGCGGUUAAUAUUCCGCCACCCGACGGGGAGGUUGAUGAGGGGAGGACGCCGGAGGAUUUUUGGGUCGGGGUGACAGACGCCCCCGUGCCGCAAGGCCGACAGCAUUCGAUCUGGAAGCCCAAGAGAAUCCGGCCGCGAAAAGCCCCCCUCGGACGAACCGUCGGCCCGUACCGCAAUCCGACACAGGUGUGCCAGGUGAGAAUCCGAAGGCGUUCGGGAGAACCCUCGUGAAGGAACUCGGCAAAAUGACCCCGUACCUUCGGUAUAAGGGGUGCUCAUCACGCAAGUGGUGAGCCGCAGAGAAUCGGCUCUAGCGACUGUUUAUCAAAAACACAGGACUCUGCCAACUCGCAAGAGGAUGUAUAGAGUCUGACGCCUGCUCGGUGUCGGUAGGUUGAGGGAGGCGGUUAGCGCAAGCAAAGCUGCCGACCGAAGCCCCGAUAAACGGCGGCCGUAACUAUGACGGUCCUAAGGUAGCGAA